rnacentral:rRNA from 1 species
ACGAACGCUGGCGGCGUGCUUAACCCCUGCAAGUCGCACGGAAAGGCCCUGCUUUUGUGGGGUGCUCGAGUGGCGAACGGGUGAGUAACACGUGAGUAACCUGCCCUUGACUUUGGGAUAACUUCAGGAAACUGGGGCUAAUACCGGAUAGGAGCUCCUGCUGCAUGGUGGGGGUUGGAAAGUUUCGGCGGUUGGGGAUGGACUCGCGGCUUAUCAGCUUGUUGGUGGGGUAGUGGCUUACCAAGGCUUUGACGGGUAGCCGGCCUGAGAGGGUGACCGGCCACAUUGGGACUGAGAGACGGCCCAGACUCCUACGGGAGGCAGCAGUGGGGAAUAUUGCACAAUGGGCGGAAGCCUGAUGCAGCAACGCCGCGUGCGGGAUGACGGCCUUCGGGUUGUAAACCGCUUUCGCCUGUGACGAAGCGUGAGUGACGGUAAUGGGUAAAGAAGCACCGGCUAACUACGUG